rnacentral:rRNA from 1 species
AGUGAACGCUGGCGGCGUGCUUAACACAUGCAAGUCGAACGAGUAAGUGCUGUAGCAAUACAGAUUACUGCUAGUGGCAGACGGGUGAGUAAUACAUGGGAAUCUACCUCGAAGUCUGGGAUAACUGUUGGAAACGACAGCUAAUACCGGAUAUUGCCGAGAGGUGAAAGUUUUUCGCUUCGAGAUGAGCCCAUGCAAGAUUAGCUAGUUGGUAGGGUAAAGGCCUACCAAGGCGAAGAUCUUUAGCUGGUCUAAGAGGAUGAUCAGCCACACUGGAACUGAGACACGGUCCAGACUCCUACGGGAGGUCAG